CCGCCCAUCGGGGCCGCCGGGCGCCGGCUCCCGGACCGACGAGGCGGAGACCCCCCAGUGGCGCUCCAUGGGCGCGCCAAGCCGGCCCGCUCCCAUCCGCAGGAGGAACCGCUGCCGACCGAGCCAGCCCCCAACACCAGUGCCCUCGUCGCCUCCUCCGCGGCAAUCCAGCCAGAGCAGAACACCCUCGGCAGGCCGCCUCUUCCGUUGCGCCAACACGCAGCAAGCCAAUCCAAACAAGCUGGGGGCGGCCCGAAGGCCUCUUGUCCAAUCGGCUGCCUGAUUCGAGGCGGAUCGACCGCGCCUCCGCCCAAUGAAAGGCUCGGGGCGGGGCGGAGGACGGCAAGGGAGGGGAUCCGGGCUGGGCAGAGGAGAAGGCGGUGUUGCUGAGCACAGAGUGAUGGCGGCGCCGCCCAAUAGACGCGUUGGUGGAGGGGUCUGCGACCCCUUACACCGGGGUGCACAGGAAGCCACCCCAGAGGGAUCCUACAAAAACCAAGAAAACGUAUAGCUACUCUUCUAAAUCUCAGUGCCCAGCAUUGCCUACGUUUCUGCCUCCCCCAGCAACAACAAAAAAAAAAACGGUUCUCCUUGACCUGAGGAAACUUCCAUCCAGGUCUGUGAGCUGCAAUAGAUCAUCCUGAAGAAUCAAGAAUCAUCAUCACCUGAGACUGCCAAGACGAAUCCCAACAUCAAAACAACACUUGAGGGCUUCCCUGGUGACGCAGUGGUUGAGGGUCCGCCUGCCUGAUGCAGGGGAUACAGGUUCGUGCCCCGGUCCGGGAAGAUCCUACAGGCCGCGGAGUGGCUAGGCCCGUGAGCCAUGGCCACUGAGCCUGCGCGUCCGGAGCCUGUGCCCCGCAACGGGAGAGGCCACAACAGUGAGAGGCCCACGUACCGCAAAAAAAAAAACAAAAAACAAAAAAGCACUUGAAGCUUGUGUACCUUUUCUUUCUUUACUGUGUAUAGUGUCUUUUAUCUUUUUAAAAUUUAUUUAUUUAUUUAUUUAUUUUUGGCUCCGUUGGGUCUUCGUUGCUGCACGCGGGCUUUCUCUAGUUGCGGCAAGCGGGGUCUACUCUUCGUCGCAGUGCACGGGCUUCUCAGUGCGGUGGCUUCUCUUGUUGCAGAGCACGGGCUCUAGGUGCGCGGGCUUCAGGAGUUGUGGCUCGCGGGCUCUAGAGCGCAGGCUCAGUAGUUGUGGCACACGGGCUUAGUUGCUCCACGGCAUAUGGGAUCUUCCCAGAGCGGGGCUCGAACCCGUGUCCCCUGCAUUGGCAGGUGGAUUCUUAACAAUUGCACCACCAGGGAAGCCCAGAAAAUAAAUUUUUUAAGAGAAAAAUGUA